rnacentral:rRNA from 1 species
UACGUAGGGUGCGAGCGUUAAUCGGAAUUACUGGGCGUAAAGCGUGCGCAGGCGGUUUGUUAAGUCAGAUGUGAAAGCCCCGGGCUCAACCUGGGAAUGGCAUUUGAAACUGGCAAGCUUGAGUAUGGCAGAGGGGGGUGGAAUUCCGCGUGUAGCAGUUAAAUGCGUAGAGAUGCGGAGGAACACCGAUGGCGAAGGCAGCCCCCUGGGCCAAUACUGCCGCUCAGGCACGAAAGCGUGUGGAGCAAACAGU